GCGUAUGAUAUAAAAUGCUAGCUUGACCAAACUUCCGAGUUUUAAAUAAAUGUGUGAGGCAGAAAGCUUAUAAAAUUUCUCAGCUUCAAUGAAAAAGCAAAGGGAACUUGUUGAUAGGGUGCAAUGCCAUUAUGCUAAGAUAAGACAUACUCUUGCAUUAGUGUCACAGGUACACAUGCUUGAAACAAAUAUAGGUGAUGAUUGGUUCGACUGUGGCUUAAAAAAUUUAACUGUAGAUGUUUAGCUGUAGAUAAAUUGGUUGUAGCUGUAAAGUUGUUACUGUAGACUUUUUCUGCAGAGACUUUUACUGUAGUUAAAUUUGUUGUAGCUGUAAGUUAUAGGCUGUAGAUAUUUUAAAAUAAAAUAUAUGAAAUAUGUGUUGUAUAUAUAUAAUUAUUAUUUUAUAUGAAUUAAAAUAAUUUAUGCUAAUAUUUUUGUUUAUAAAUUAUCAAAAUUUGUUGUAAUUUUAAAAGUGAUAUGUAAAUAAUAUUUAUAUUAUUUAAAUAUCUUAAUAAUUAAAAAAACACUCAAAUUCAAAAUUAAAAUAUUUAUAAAAGUUUUUAUUAUGAUUAUAUAAUUUAUUUGAUAUUAUAGAUAUCUUUUUUUACAUUUUACAGAUUCUACAGCUUAUAAAAAUAUGAUGUAGCAUUUUUGCCUAAAAUACAUAAUAAAAAGUUUUGCUUUAUUUUUUUUGCUGUAGCUUUAAAAAUAAAGCUAAAGCAUGAUUGGUAAAAUUAAAUAAAAACUUGAUGUAGACAUUAAUUUUUAAAAGUAAAGCUAAAGCAUGAUUGGUAAAAUUUAGUGAUUUAAAAAUAAAUAAAGCUAAAGUAUGGAGAUAAAACCCAACCAAUCACCCCCAUAGCAUUCUAAAAAUUGUUAAAAAAAAAGAGUUUUUAUUCUGAUAAAUGCAACCAUCCUCCAGACUACUUCUUCCCCCUUUUCAAUUGGUUUUUGACUCGAUCACCUUCUUGGCGAAAGAAGGCAAACAGAAGGCAGCUGAAUGAAUCUGAAACCCAUAAGAAGAAAGAGCAGAUAAGGAUCUGAAUGCCAAGAUGCAUGAAGUGACAUAUCAAAGAGUUUCUUUUGUUCUCACCUCAGCGUUAUAAAACUUCAACGGUCCACUUGAUUUGCUGUCAUCAAUUGGGUUCACAGGGUGUUUGAAGUCAACGUCAGGUCCCUCAGUUGAACAUAGCAUGAAUCCAAUAACCCCACUGCAAAAAGAAAGAAGUUAAAUGACACAAAAUCACAAAAACAUGAGAGAUUGGAUGUUAAAAGGGUUACAAAACAUGCCUCGGGUAUGUUGGAACACUGGUCCACGCGUAGUUCACAGAGCCCUUGAAGAUCUCACGACAAUUGGAAACAAUGUCUUCGAUUAUGUCCAUGUGAAGCCACAAGCUUUCGGCCUGAGUGCACACAACUCCACCAGGACGAAGCGCUCUCGCCACAGAUUGGAAGAAAGGUUUCUCAAACAGCUCCUUAGCAGGACCUGACACACACACACCAGCAACAAGUAGUUAAUAAUCGAAGUCUGCUUCUCAACAUAACAGCAAGGGUUAACUCUGAUGGUACCAAUUGGAUCCGAGGAGUCAACAAUGACGGCAUCAUAUGAACCUUCAGCAGCAUUCUUCAAGUAAGCAACACCAUCGCCAAUGACGAGGUUGACACGAGGAUCCUCGAAUCCAAUUGCUACGUUAGGGAAAAACUGCUUAGAGACCUGUAGAUUCAACGAACGUGGCAACGAAACGCAUAUGAACAUUCCCAUUUACUCAUACAGAGAUGGAGGAGAAGGUGAAAAGUAUGUGAGAACUCACAUCAACCACCAUUUUAUCAAUCUCACACAUGUCAAUCUGCUCAACAGAGGAAUGGCGUGCAACUUCCCGCAGGACACCUCCAUCUCCUCCUCCAAUGACCAACACCUAUGAAAAAAAAACAAGAAAGUCACUGAUCAGAUACAAGAAGCUAUAAAUGUUCAUCUGUUUCACUAAACCAUAAUCUUCAACUAGUUAAAUUGGAUGUUAGAAGCUUUGACUAUCUACUUUUAUUCAAGCAAGUCCUAAAUAAUCAUUUGACGCAGUUAAAAACAUUUGCCUCUAUUUUAUUAUUACUACCCAAUAAAGUAACUUGAGUUCUCUGAACGUGGGACAAUAUACCCUUUUUUUUUGACAAUAAAAAAGCUAAAAAGAAUGUUCAUCAUCAACCUUUUUCUCUAGUGGACAUUCUUAUCACCACUCUGUGAGUCUAAUCAUUUAUGCCAGCUACAAAAUUCACAUCUGAUAAAGGACGUCUGGUUACUACAUUUCUUCACAAGUAAUUAUUUAACUCAUCAUACUUCACCGGAGAAGAAAAAAAAAAGUAAUAAAUAGUCUUUUGAGUAUUUUUUUUACCUUCUUUGGGUUAGGGAUAGAGCACAAAGGCAGAUGAGUGAUCAUCUCCUGAUAAGCGCACUCGUCUCUCUCCGUAAGUUGUAUGACUCCAUCCAAAACCAAAACUUUCCCAUACGUCGCAGACUAAAUAAACAAACCAAACAUAAAAAAACAGAGAUAUGAUUGCAGAUUCAACCAAAAGUCAUUGUCUUUUUAAUGUUUGUGUUAACCUGGAAAACAAUGACAUCUUGGUAAUCUGAUUUGCCUUGAAACAAAACCUUCUCAACCUUCAAAGAGUGUGCCUCUCCUGCAUCCCCAAAAAGACAUCAUCAGGUUUUGUAAUAAAAAAAGGAGAUACCUUUAUGAAAAAAAAAAAAGACAAGAACGAGAAUUGACCUGGCCACAUGGGACUCAUCUCGGAGAACCACCCGGGAAUCACGGAGGAGAAACAAGCCGGCUCCUUUGUCUCCAUGGAGGCGACGGCGGCGGUGUUGUUGUUAUCAUCCUCUUCUCUCGGUCGCUUCAAAUCGGUGACAGAGGCUUCUUUGGUGGCAUCCAUUGCUACUGCCGAUAGAAGACGAGAGAGAGGGGAUUAGGGUUUUUUUUUUGCAGGAUUUGUUUGGAUGUGAAGUGAAGCGGAAUAUAUAAGAAUUAAGAAGUAAAAGAUUCGAUAGUAAGACUGUAAAAUAUCAAUUUCAUUUAUGUUAUUUUAUUUUGUGGGUUAUAAUUCCGACGAGUUAAUUGCGAAAUUAUUAUGUGAUGAUAAAUAAUACGGACGAAACUGCUUUUGCCUCGAAUAUAUCGUUGUCUUGGCUUUUUGGUCUGUCUGUUUUUCUUAUUCGCUUCUUGAUGAUACUCACUUGCCAGACACCACGUUUACGCCACGCGCUAUUUCACGUGCAACGUAUGCUUGGGUUCGAAGCUCGGCCAAAUCACACAACAUAGAGAGGAUUAGCAAGUGUCAGAUAUAUUCUUGUAGAGGAGGCUCUAAUCAUAAAACAAAACAGUUUUAUGCUGUUAAUUGUAAGUGUUUAUGUUGAUGUGUAUGAUAUAUUUACCAGUGAUAACACAACCAUUGAACUAUUACAUAGGGAAGUAUAUAAGAUAAAUUAGUUACCGAAUAACAAGUUUCAUUUACAAUUUUUUUAUAUAGUUUUCUACUGUAUUUAAUUUGAUGUCCUUGAAUCGUUUUGUAAUAUGGCUCUCAUAAGUCUCCCAGGUAACACAGAUACUGUCCAAAGAUAAUUGGAUAGCAGGACUUGGGUCGCUAAGGCUAUCAUAUUAUUAGGCCCACUAUAGAACCCAGCUUUUGCAAAAUCAAAUAUCAUGCAAAGGAGCCCCUUUUCACGAAUACACAAUAAUUUUUGUAGAGGUGUUUUUUUUUUUUUUGAACAUUCGUAGAGGUGUAUAUUACUCAGAUAUAUUUCGUCUGAUAACAAGUACCGACCAUGAAUACUGCUGUUUCAGUUUCAUACGACUCUUCCUAGUUGAAGCCAAGCAUUUCAGUUUGAACGGUCCACUAAAUUUGGUUUUAGUUGAGCCGAAAUCUUUUACGAAAACGAUAUUAGAAACGAAAAACACGUAUGAAAAAAAAACGAGUUCUUUAUUACUAAAAAGAUAGUAAAAGGAAUGUUACAAAUCCUUGUGGGUCUAAUGUGGCUAAGAUUGUGUCAGUGACCGGAUCUAAACCAAUCAUGAUUAGCCGUGGUGGGCCUAGUGGCGAAGAUUGAGAGCCAGUUUUAGCAUAAACACAUGUCAUAGCAAUUGAUACCAAAAUCCCAAAUUUCUCCAAGUUUAUCUUAAUUUUAAUUCAAACACAGACGCUGACUAAACUAUAUUAUAAUGAUAUAAUAUAACUAAUAUACUUUCACAUGUUCACAUAAUCACAUUUGAUAUAAUGACCUAUUUUUAGUGCGGUAGGUGAACAACUCAAAUCCACUCUUAUAGGAGUUAUAUACUUAAGAUUUUCAAAAUUGGAAAAGAAUCGGGAAAUAAUAUUAUUUUCUCUUUCAUUCUUGUUUAGUGAAUGCUUUUUUCGACGACAUUGAAUGCUAAAUAAACUAAUAAGGUAUGAUUUGUCCGAAUGAACCAACCAAGUGAGUCAGUGACACCAUAUUUCUUGCUUAUGAAUUUCUGAUAAUUAAUUUCACGAUUUUUCUUCAUAAUUUAUUAACCUAAAUAUAUCAAGUUUUUUUAACUAAAUAUUCCAAAUGAUAUAAUGUUUAUUUAUUUUUAGCAAAAAAUAAUAAAAUAAGAAAUGAUUUUUUUUGUCAAAACAAUCUUCAUAUAUAUGAAUUUCAAACAUUAUAGUUCGUAUUAAAAUUAGAAUAAUAUAUUAUAUACAUUAGCUCCGAAAAAAAAAUAUUUCAUUCUAAUGCGUUGUUUAUAUAUAUAUAUAUACUAAAUAUUUUUGUUUUUUUGGUCAAAAAAUAUGUUUGUUUAUUUUCAAUAUUAUGUGAACAUAAUAUUGAUAUAUAUGAUAUUAAAAGCUUACAAUAAUUCCAAACAUUAUUGCACCACAUAAAAUAUAUUUUAUGCAAGUGGUCGCGAAUAAUGUUCCGACUUCCGACAACUGUUCUCUUUUGGUCUAACUGGCCUGUGUGAACGGAUAAUAUCAGAUACUGUAGGUCUUAAAAGUGGUUCUUCCUACGUUUGCUAUAUAACGAAACCACACUAAGUCCUCCUUCAGAGCAUACCCGAUACAAAGAAGAGAGAAAGUCUUUACCGCGACUACUGUACUUAGUUUCCAUGGCGUCAAGAAGAGUGUCCUCGCUUCUAUCUCGCUCCCUCUUCUCCUCCUCUUCUCUCUUCUCCCUUAGAGGUAUACACCUAUCCGAUGCGAUGAUUCAUUUUCUUAGGUUAAUCGCAGAUCCACUUUUUUUUUUAUAUAUAUCUUAUCGGCUGAUCCGGUCGGACUCAGAGGAACAGUCUAGAUCCUCUCGAAUAAUAGCUAUCUUUCUGUUUGUAUUUUAUAUUUCCUGAUUAAUUGAUUCGAUGAUCUCCAAGAUUUUUGGAUUCUCUAUCGAUGUGAUUUGAAUGAUUCUCUUCAGGUAAAGACCCUCUCAUGAGCAGAGGAGCUCGCAGGUACAGCAACCUCGCUUCUGCUUCUCUGGAGGACACCAUCACUCCACCAGUGAAAGUCGAGCACACUCAGCUCCUGAUCAACGGGAAGUUCGUUGAUUCAGCCUCAGGUCAGAGAUUCUUGGAAUUGUAAUGAAACUCAUUGAAUAUUAUUAUUAAUGAUUGUUACACUAAAAUUGAAUAAUGUAUUACAGGAAAGACUUUCCCCACAUUGGAUCCAAGAACUGGGGAAGUGAUAGCUCAGGUGGCUGAGGGUGACGUGGAAGACGUGAACCGUGCGGUUGUAGCCGCGCGCAAGGCCUUUGACCAGGGUCCAUGGCCUAGAAUGACUGCUUAUGUAAUAAAAACGUUUCUUUUUCAACAUCUAUGCUUGUUGAGAGUGACUCUCUCAUGUUUGGAUUCGUUUUCUUCAGGAGAGGUCGAAGAUACUGUUUCGUUUCGCUGACUUGAUUGAGAAACACAACGACGAGAUUGCUGCUCUUGAGACUUGGGACAACGGGAAGCCUUAUGAGCAGUCUGCCAAGAUUGAAGUUCCUAUGCUUGCUAGAGUGUUCCGUUACUAUGCUGGUGAGUUGAACAAAAUCACUAAUCUAAUAUUGUAUGAUUCUUUUUCUUGAUCUCUUUGAUGAUUAUGUCUUUUUGUUGUGAGUUUCUCAGGUUGGGCAGACAAGAUCCAUGGAAUGACGGUUCCUGGAGACGGUUCACACCACGUGCAGACGCUCCACGAGCCGAUAGGAGUCGCUGGACAGAUCAUCCCAUGGAACUUCCCUCUUCUCAUGCUGUCGUGGAAGCUUGGACCAGCUUUAGCUUGCGGGAACACCGUUGUGCUCAAGACGGCUGAGCAGACUCCUCUCUCUGCUCUUCUUGUUGGAAGACUACUUCAUGAGGCUGGACUUCCUGAAGGAGUUGUGAAUAUAGUUUCUGGAUUUGGUCCUACCGCUGGUGCAGCUAUUGCUAGUCACAUGGACAUUGAUAAGGUUUGAAACACACACACCUUGAAUAGACAGACAUUCAAUAGUUUUAAAGAUUCGAUAGAAUUUUCAGAUAAAUACUCUCUACUCUACAGGUUGCUUUCACCGGGUCUACUGAUGUUGGAAAGAUUAUUCUUGAGUUGGCUUCAAAAAGUAACCUCAAGGCAGUGACCCUUGAGCUUGGAGGCAAGUCACCUUUCAUUGUAUGUGAAGAUGCUGAUGUGGAUCAGGCCGUUGAGAUGGCUCAUUUCGCUCUCUUCUUUAACCAGGUAACAAUGAAUGUACACUCGUAAGAAGCAAUAGCUUCCUGAUAAUAACCUCUUCUGGCUAACUCUUAGGGACAAUGCUGCUGUGCUGGCUCGCGUACAUUUGUACAUGAACGCGUGUAUGAUGAGUUUGUAGAGAAAGCCAAAGCUCGUGCAAUCAACCGCGCUGUUGGAGAUCCCUUCAAGUCAGGCAUUGAGCAAGGUCCCCAGGUAGAGAAACAGUAACCAUACUCUCAGUGAAAGACAAAAGAGCAUUUCCACAUUCCUAACUUGUUUGGAAAAAAAAAUAAAAAAACAGGUGGACUCAGAGCAGUUCGAGAAAAUCCUGAAGUACAUUAGACAUGGAGUCGAUAGUGGAGCCACCUUACAAGCUGGAGGUGACCGUCAUGGCUCCAAGGGUUACUACAUUCAACCCACUGUCUUCUCUGACGUCAAGGUAAGUAGAACAUAAUAUUACCCUUAAACAACAAUUCCUUUAAAUUUAUUUAUAUGGUUCUGUAUUGAACAUGGCAGGAUGACAUGCUCAUAGCAAAAGACGAGAUCUUCGGACCAGUUCAGACCAUACUUAAGUUCAAGUACAGACCCAAUGCUAAAACCAAAUAUGUCCUCUCUUUUUUUCUGUUUAAAUUUACUGAUGGCAAUUGAUGUUUCAAUAGGAAUCUGGAUGAGGUUAUUGCAAGGGCGAACAACUCAAGAUACGGUUUAGCUGCAGGAGUGUUCACACAGAAUCUGGACACAGCGAAUAGGCUGAUGCGAGCGCUGAGGGUUGGAAGCGUUUGGAUAAACUGUUUCGAUGUGUUUGAUGCCACAAUUCCAUUUGGAGGGUAUAAGAUGAGUGGCAUUGGAAGAGAGAAAGGUAUCUACAGUCUCAACAAUUACUUGCAAGUCAAGGCUGUUGUCACUGCCAUCAAGAACCCCGCUUGGCUCUAAACCGAACCUAUCCCUCGAGGUUGGUUGGUUAAUAAUGGUUUUGCUUUGGGAAACCUGGAGUUGGUUUUCUAGAUUAUGAUGAUAAAUUUUAUCUUCAGCACAUUUUACACAUAAAGCUAUGUAUGAAUGAAUCAUUUCUUGAUAUUGGGGAAUAACCACUUUAUGAAUAAAACAAUAAUAUUUCUAUAAGCAGUGGAAACUAAAAAAGCUUUUUUCACAGUAGAUGUGGGAACAAUAUUAAAAAAAAAUCUUAUUAUCUGCACUUUUAUGAUUCAUGGGUUCUUCAUUUUGAUUCUGAGCUUUCUAGUGAUCUGUGAUGCUCUUGGAUGUAGUUGCCGUCUAGUGUUAUUAUCAGCAGACUGUUCUGCUUCCACCCAGUUUACAACUUGGAGAAUCAGAGACUGUGGAACCUUCUUAACAUCUGCAUCACCUGUGCCUUUACACUUCUUCAUCCCUUUCUCUAGAGCCUUGUCUAUAAACUCCAUGAACCAGUUUGCAGCUUCUUUCUCUGUCUCUUUAGCCAACCUCGCUGUGUUUCCUAAGCCUGAUGGGUUCUUGUUCUCAUCGUUUGACCUCAGUUGCUUGUGGUUUUGCUGCUGCUUCAGGGAAGUAGUAGCUCUUCUCUUCGUUGCGGUCUUCUCCUGAUCAAUAGAGUUGUGCUGGAUCUCGUUAAGUAUCAAAGACGUUGAUCCAUCUUCAGACUUGUUCUCAGUAGCUGAUGUAACAGCUGCUUCAAUGGAAGAGAUCUCUAUCAUGGUUUCAGAUAUCUGCUUGUGAAACUCCAAGAACUUCUCGAAGUAGGCUGCAGGGCAAUCAGGUUUUGCUGAUUUGCUCAGAUUGGCUAAUGUCCUGUAUUUUCACAAGAACUUUAUCAGAUUCUUAUACUCAAAGACCAUAUGAGAUCAAACAGACAGCAAAAGGAGAUGGAGUUGUAUACUUGAGAUGACGAACAACUGUUUCAGUGACAGUAGCUUCUCUCAAAGCCUGAAGAGCUAUCUUCUGAGCCGUCUCCCUCUGCUGCAUAGCUUCCUGUGCCACAUCAAAAGACAUCUCUCUCAGUAUCACCAAACAAAAGUCUUAAUACUACUUCAAGGCACUAACAAACUGAAUCACCUUGCUCAGUGUGCUGAGUCUUCCUGUUAGACUCGAACUCUUCUCUGGUUUCUCCACCUUACUCUGCUUUGGAGAAGCCAAUUUCGAAAUAGACUUUGGAGCAUCUCUCUCUUCUUCCAUCAAAGCAGCUGCAGCCGUAGCUCGUCUAGUGCGUACACUCGGAGGCGGCGGCGAGUUACUUUUCUUUGCCUGCAAAAUCUCCAUUGUUAAAGAAGAAACAACAAGAAGAAACUCAACAAGACAAAAUGUACCUACAGAGGAUUUAAAAGGACUAAGAAGAGCAGAAGAAACAGAGAUCAUCUUCUCUCUAUCGCAAACACUCCUACUCCUCGGAAACUUGGAGCUCGGCGGCACGACACAGCUCUUCCUCAUCACCGAACCAGGACUCUCCCCUCUCAAAUCCCCCAUCUUUCCUCCAUAUGAACACCUUACACCACCCCUCGUCAUCGGAGACGCCGCCCCAAACCCAAACCUCCUCUGUUUCGCCACCGGAGUACACUGAUCAAAAUCCAAAGUCCCGGACUUUAACACAAAAGGAGACGCAACGUCACCGUUUUGACCCCAAGUCCCAGACUUUAACACAAAAGGAGACGCGACGUCGCCGUUUUGACCCCAAGACCCUCUCCUAGGCCUCUCAUUCUCAUUCUUCCCCCUCGCGCUGACCUCGGGAGUCCCGAGCAGAGGAUGCCUCCCCGGGAUAGGCCUCGCGCCUUGCACGAUCGGAACGGGGGUACCAGGAUCGAGCCUGUCGACGUAGAUGAACUGGCCGAGCUGCAUCUUGUUGCUCAAAACGACGUCGUCUUGGUCGGAGGGGAGGGUGACGUAGAUGGAGUGGGAAGAGUCGGAGAGUUUGAUGAAGAAGCCCUGUUUCGGCAACAGAUUCUUCUCGUCGAGGUCGAUGGGGACGAUGUCCGUGACUUGGAGGAGAGAGCUUCUGUGUUCUCCGGUGGGUUUGACUCCGGUCUUCAUGCCGUCGAUUAGCUUCUGGAGGAUCCCGGGUGCUAGAGCCGCCAUUGAAGGGAUUCAAGAAGGGUCUAGAUUUUGGAAAGAUUUGGAUUUGAUUUUUGAUAAGGGAGAUUGAAUUUGAUGUGAUUGAGAAAGUUAGGUUUUUUUUUUUUUAACUAGGCGCGGAGAGCUAACGGCUACGAUAAUAAAAGCAAGUUUUUUUGAAUGAUAAAAAGGAAAAAGAGAUUUGAUGGGGUUGGAACGUUGUGAGUAACGGUCGAAUUUGGUGUGGUAGGGACUCUUAUGUGUAUUGUAUUCGUUGAUUAUUUUAUUUGGUUUGUACUAUAUAGUUUAUAGUUUGAUUAUUGGAAGGAUCUUUUUGGGGGUUUAUACGCCUUCUUUUCUGAUGCAUUUGUUUAAAUAAUUACUAAAUCAAUACUUAAUAACAAUGGGUUACUGACUAUGGUUUUCUCCAGAAGAUUGGUACAUAUUUAGUUUGGAUAUGUAUGGAAAAGAUUUCACCAUGAUUUUUUUUUUUGUUUACAGAUUUCACCAUGAUUAUCUUUCUACAUUUCUUUAACCACAUUAUUUGCAUUAAAUAUUAUAAAUCGAAUUAUUAUUCAAAAGUACUAGUUUGCAAUUAUUAAAACUUCUCUCUCUAAUAAACUAAACAAUAUGUUAACUUUUGAGCUGGUCUAGCAUGCGUUAAAUUUCUAAUUUUUCUAGCUAAACUAGCACUUUUGAAUAAUAAUUCUGAAAACAAGAAAUUAGAUGAAUUAUUAUUCUAAAAAGGACUAAUAAUUCAUCUAAUUUCUUGUUUUCAGAAUUUAAAUAUUACAAAUCACUAUGAAUUAUAUUCUAGUUCUGUGUAUUUAAAUGUGAAAGUGUGUUGUUUUAUUUUAUUUAUGGACCCCAAACACGGCCGAUAUAUAUAUCUAACCGCCAUUGUGUCUGGUCCGUAUUAACCGCCAUAAUAUCAUCUUAGUUGUUGACCCUCGGAAUCAGGAACCAUUAUCUGAUUCGAACUUAUCCUUCUUGUUUAUUUGAUUCAUUCUUCUGUCUCUCUCCGAUCUUAGCUUACCUUAGUUCCAAAAUGAAGCUGCCGCUGAAAAGCCCCGAGACUAGAGAAACCCCAAUACGUGAAGUAUACGAUACAACCACUAUCCCUGAACUCCUCCAACUGAUCGAUUCAAUACUUGAGGAACUUCACCGAUCACUCGGCAUAACAUCCGUUGAGGCAAACCAAUCAGAGAAGAACCAGACGAGUACGGAUGGUCCAGAUCCGGUGGAUAGCAAAAGGUUAAGCGAACCAUUCUUCUUGAAAAAGAUUUUACUUGAGAACUCAUCUGGUGAUAGUACCAACAGAGCUUAAGGUGAAGAUAGUGGAGUCCCUUCCGGGAGCGAGUCUCGCGAAGAUAGCUUGCAUUUGCAGAGAGAGUCAGUGUAUGGCAUCGGGUAACGACUUGUGGAAACAGAAAAUCUGGGAAGAAGCUAGGCAUCUUCUUCUUGUUGGGAAUGGAGGCAGGGGCUCGGUUAAUUGGAAGGCACUACCAACAGAAACUGUCCCCUGUUGUACAACGCGGACGAGAAACCUUAACGGGCAUUGACGUGGCCAUACGUAUACACCAACGCGGACGAGAAACCUUAACGGGCAUUGACGUGGCCAUACGUAUACACCAACGCGGACGAGAAACCUUAACGGGCAUUGACGUGGCCAUACGUAUACACCAACGCUGUCGUUUUCCUCAGAUCGUUAGGGACCCUGACCCUUUGGGAUUGUCUAAUGGUGAUGAUCACUUGCAUGGUUCCGUCGGUAUACACCGGCGACAACAGAGGCUUGCCCGACGUCGUUUUAGUCCCGAAGGCAACUAGCUAUUAAGUUCACAAAUGUUAAAAGCUCAUGUUUGGGAUGUUGCAUUUAGAUUUUAUAUGUUUUGAGAACUUAUUGCCUCGUCUUCCUGAUGUAAAACAAUGUUGGGAUUCAUUGGCUUAGAACAGCUUGCGCUCAAGUUAAACUUAUUUUUUUGUUUUAAAGGUUUUUUGGUAACUUUUGCGACCAACAGAUGAAUGUUCUUGUAACUAGAUUUCCUGCGUCAUAAAGUACAAUUUUCAGAUGUGCUUUUUUUUUUGUAGAGACUCACGAGAACUAUGAGAAACUGUGUUACCAGCGUAGCUUUAUUAAUCAUGGUCAUAAAUAUAUAGACAAUCCAGAUAGCAUAAUAGUGGUAACAUAUAGCAUAGAUAUUACAAAUAAUAAGGUAAAGAACACAAUUUAUAGAAUUAUAACAGGUUACAUAUGAAUGAAAGGCAGCCCUCCCAUAGGAAUUACAAAUGGAAACAUGAAUUUAAAUGAAAUUUCAAUAGCCAAAGAAUUCAUAUGAACCUUGAAAAUUUAAAAAGAACGAGGAACAGAAUAAUAAAAAACAUAGGACAUCAUAUGAGACUUGAUGUCUUAUUUAUGAGUUACAUAUACCAGGUUAAUAAUAUGAAGGUGGGGGAGGAGAUUUGUAUUCAACUUUUGGUGAAGGAGAAUAUGUUAGUGGUGGUGGAGAUGUGUAGCCAUAUGGUGGUGGAGGAGAUUUGUAUUCAACCUUUGGGGAAGGAGAGUAAUAAGGAGGUGGAGGUGAAGAACUGUAGACAUAUGGUGGUGGAGGAGAUUUGUAUUGAACCUUCGGCGAAGGAGAGUAAUAUGGUGGUGGAGGUGGAGAACUGUAGACAUACGGUGGUGGAGGAGAUUUGUAUUCAACCUUCGGUGAAGGAGAGUAAUAAGGUGGUGGAGGUGGAGAGCUGUAGACAUACGGUGGUGGAGGAGAUUUGUACUCAGCCUUCGGUGAAGGAGAGUAAUAAGGUGGUGGAGGUGGAGAGCUGUAAACAUACGGUGGUGGAGGAGAUUUGUACUCAGCCUUUGGAGAAGGAGAAUAAUAUGGCGGUGGAGGUGGAGAGCUGUACACAUACGGGGGCGGAGGAGGUUUGUAGUCAGCCUUUGGAGAAGGAGAAUAAUAUGGUGGUGGAGGUGGAGAGCUGUAUACAUAUGGUGGUGGUGGAGAUUUGUAUUCAACCUUUGGAGAAGGAGAAUAAUAUGGUGGUGGAGGAGGAGAGUUGUAUACAUAUGGUGGUGGUGGAGACUUGUAUUCAACCUUUGGAGAAGGAGAGUAAUAUGGUGGUGGUGGUGGAGAACUGUAGAUAUAUGGUGGUGGAGGAGAUUUGUACUCUACUUUUGGAGAAGGAGAAUAAUAUGGUGGUGGUGGAGAGUUGUAGACAUAUGGUGGUGGUGGAGAUUUGUGUGUUGGCUUAGGGGAAGGUGAGUAGUAUGGUGGUGGGGGAGAGCUGUAGAUAUAUGGUGGUGGUGGAGAUUUGUAGGCGGGUUUAGGUGAAGGCGAAUAGUAUGGUGGUGGUGGAGAGCUGUAGACAUAUGGUGGUGGUGGAGAUUUAUAUGCGGGUUUAGGUGAAGGAGAAUAGUAAGGUGGAGGUGGGGAGCUGUAGACAUAUGGUGGUGGUGGGGAUUUGUAUGCAGGCUUAGGCGAAGGCGAGUAAUAUGGUGGUGGUGGAGAACUGUAGACAUAUGGUGGUGGUGGAGAUUUGUACUCAAUCUUUGGAGAAGGAGAGUAGCAUGGAGGAGGAGGUGGACAAACACAUACAUGUGGGUGUGGUGGAGAUUUGUACACAACCUUAGGUGAUGGUGAAUAGUAUGGUGGUGGUGGAGAGUUGUAAACAUAUGGCGGUGGGGGAGAUUUGUAUGCAUGUUUAGGUGAAGGAGAAUAGUAAGGUGGAGGUGGGGAGCUGUAGACAUAUGGUGGUGGUGGGGAUUUGUAUGCAGGCUUAGGCGAAGGCGAGUAAUAUGGUGGUGGUGGAGAACUGUAGACAUAUGGUGGUGGUGGAGAUUUGUACUCAAUCUUUGGAGAAGGAGAGUAGCAUGGAGGAGGAGGUGGACAAACACAUACAUGUGGGUGUGGUGGAGAUUUGUACACAACCUUAGGUGAUGGUGAAUAGUAUGGUGGUGGUGGAGAGUUGUAAACAUAUGGCGGUGGGGGAGAUUUGUAUGCAUGUUUAGGUGAAGGAGAAUAGUAAGGUGGAGGUGGGGAGCUGUAGACAUAUGGUGGUGGUGGGGAUUUGUAUGCAGGCUUAGGCGAAGGCGAGUAAUAUGGUGGUGGUGGAGAACUGUAGACAUAUGGUGGUGGUGGAGAUUUGUACUCAAUCUUUGGAGAAGGAGAGUAGCAUGGAGGAGGAGGUGGACAAACACAUACAUGUGGGUGUGGUGGAGAUUUGUACACAACCUUAGGUGAUGGUGAAUAGUAUGGUGGUGGUGGAGAGUUGUAAACAUAUGGCGGUGGGGGAGAUUUGUAUGCAUGUUUAGGUGAAGGAGAAUAGUAAGGUGGAGGUGGGGAGCUGUAGACAUAUGGUGGUGGUGGGGAUUUGUAUGCAGGCUUAGGCGAAGGCGAGUAAUAUGGUGGUGGUGGAGAACUGUAGACAUAUGGUGGUGGUGGAGAUUUGUACUCAAUCUUUGGAGAAGGAGAGUAGCAUGGAGGAGGAGGUGGACAAACACAUACAUGUGGGUGUGGUGGAGAUUUGUACACAACCUUAGGUGAUGGUGAAUAGUAUGGUGGUGGUGGAGAGUUGUAAACAUAUGGCGGUGGGGGAGAUUUGUAUGCAUGUUUAGGUGAAGGAGAAUAGUAAGGUGGAGGUGGGGAGCUGUAGACAUAUGGUGGUGGUGGGGAUUUGUAUGCAGGCUUAGGCGAAGGCGAGUAAUAUGGUGGUGGUGGAGAACUGUAGACAUAUGGUGGUGGUGGAGAUUUGUACUCAAUCUUUGGAGAAGGAGAGUAGCAUGGAGGAGGAGGUGGACAAACACAUACAUGUGGGUGUGGUGGAGAUUUGUACACAACCUUAGGUGAUGGUGAAUAGUAUGGUGGUGGUGGAGAGUUGUAAACAUAUGGCGGUGGGGGAGAUUUGUAUGCAUGUUUAGGUGAAGGAGAAUAGUAAGGUGGAGGUGGGGAGCUGUAGACAUAUGGUGGUGGUGGGGAUUUGUAUGCAGGCUUAGGCGAAGGCGAGUAAUAUGGUGGUGGUGGAGAACUGUAGACAUAUGGUGGUGGUGGAGAUUUGUACUCAAUCUUUGGAGAAGGAGAGUAGCAUGGAGGAGGAGGUGGACAAACACAUACAUGUGGGUGUGGUGGAGAUUUGUACACAACCUUAGGUGAUGGUGAAUAGUAUGGUGGUGGUGGAGAGUUGUAAACAUAUGGCGGUGGGGGAGAUUUGUAUGCAUGUUUAGGUGAAGGAGAAUAGUAAGGUGGAGGUGGGGAGCUGUAGACAUAUGGUGGUGGUGGGGAUUUGUAUGCAGGCUUAGGCGAAGGCGAGUAAUAUGGUGGUGGUGGAGAACUGUAGACAUAUGGUGGUGGUGGAGAUUUGUACUCAAUCUUUGGAGAAGGAGAGUAGCAUGGAGGAGGAGGUGGACAAACACAUACAUGUGGGUGUGGUGGAGAUUUGUACACAACCUUAGGUGAUGGUGAAUAGUAUGGUGGUGGUGGAGAGUUGUAAACAUAUGGCGGUGGGGGAGAUUUGUAUGCAUGUUUAGGUGAAGGAGAAUAGUAAGGUGGAGGUGGGGAGCUGUAGACAUAUGGUGGUGGUGGGGAUUUGUAUGCAGGCUUAGGCGAAGGCGAGUAAUAUGGUGGUGGUGGAGAACUGUAGACAUAUGGUGGUGGUGGAGAUUUGUACUCAAUCUUUGGAGAAGGAGAGUAGCAUGGAGGAGGAGGUGGACAAACACAUACAUGUGGGUGUGGUGGAGAUUUGUACACAACCUUAGGUGAUGGUGAAUAGUAUGGUGGUGGUGGAGAGUUGUAAACAUAUGGCGGUGGGGGAGAUUUGUAUGCAUGUUUAGGUGAAGGAGAAUAGUAAGGUGGAGGUGGGGAGCUGUAGACAUAUGGUGGUGGUGGGGAUUUGUAUGCAGGCUUAGGCGAAGGCGAGUAAUAUGGUGGUGGUGGAGAACUGUAGACAUAUGGUGGUGGUGGAGAUUUGUACUCAAUCUUUGGAGAAGGAGAGUAGCAUGGAGGAGGAGGUGGACAAACACAUACAUGUGGGUGUGGUGGAGAUUUGUACACAACCUUAGGUGAUGGUGAAUAGUAUGGUGGUGGUGGAGAGUUGUAAACAUAUGGCGGUGGGGGAGAUUUGUAUGCAUGUUUAGGUGAAGGAGAAUAGUAAGGUGGAGGUGGGGAGCUGUAGACAUAUGGUGGUGGUGGGGAUUUGUAUGCAGGCUUAGGCGAAGGCGAGUAAUAUGGUGGUGGUGGAGAACUGUAGACAUAUGGUGGUGGUGGAGAUUUGUACUCAAUCUUUGGAGAAGGAGAGUAGCAUGGAGGAGGAGGUGGACAAACACAUACAUGUGGGUGUGGUGGAGAUUUGUACACAACCUUAGGUGAUGGUGAAUAGUAUGGUGGUGGUGGAGAGUUGUAAACAUAUGGCGGUGGGGGAGAUUUGUAUGCAUGUUUAGGUGAAGGAGAAUAGUAAGGUGGAGGUGGGGAGCUGUAGACAUAUGGUGGUGGUGGGGAUUUGUAUGCAGGCUUAGGCGAAGGCGAGUAAUAUGGUGGUGGUGGAGAACUGUAGACAUAUGGUGGUGGUGGAGAUUUGUACUCAAUCUUUGGAGAAGGAGAGUAGCAUGGAGGAGGAGGUGGACAAACACAUACAUGUGGGUGUGGUGGAGAUUUGUACACAACCUUAGGUGAUGGUGAAUAGUAUGGUGGUGGUGGAGAGUUGUAAACAUAUGGCGGUGGGGGAGAUUUGUAUGCAUGUUUAGGUGAAGGAGAAUAGUAAGGUGGAGGUGGGGAGCUGUAGACAUAUGGUGGUGGUGGGGAUUUGUAUGCAGGCUUAGGCGAAGGCGAGUAAUAUGGUGGUGGUGGAGAACUGUAGACAUAUGGUGGUGGUGGAGAUUUGUACUCAAUCUUUGGAGAAGGAGAGUAGCAUGGAGGAGGAGGUGGACAAACACAUACAUGUGGGUGUGGUGGAGAUUUGUACACAACCUUAGGUGAUGGUGAAUAGUAUGGUGGUGGUGGAGAGUUGUAAACAUAUGGCGGUGGGGGAGAUUUGUAUGCAUGUUUAGGUGAAGGAGAAUAGUAAGGUGGAGGUGGGGAGCUGUAGACAUAUGGUGGUGGUGGGGAUUUGUAUGCAGGCUUAGGCGAAGGCGAGUAAUAUGGUGGUGGUGGAGAACUGUAGACAUAUGGUGGUGGUGGAGAUUUGUACUCAAUCUUUGGAGAAGGAGAGUAGCAUGGAGGAGGAGGUGGACAAACACAUACAUGUGGGUGUGGUGGAGAUUUGUACACAACCUUAGGUGAUGGUGAAUAGUAUGGUGGUGGUGGAGAGUUGUAAACAUAUGGCGGUGGGGGAGAUUUGUAUGCAUGUUUAGGUGAAGGAGAAUAGUAAGGUGGAGGUGGGGAGCUGUAGACAUAUGGUGGUGGUGGGGAUUUGUAUGCAGGCUUAGGCGAAGGCGAGUAAUAUGGUGGUGGUGGAGAACUGUAGACAUAUGGUGGUGGUGGAGAUUUGUACUCAAUCUUUGGAGAAGGAGAGUAGCAUGGAGGAGGAGGUGGACAAACACAUACAUGUGGGUGUGGUGGAGAUUUGUACACAACCUUAGGUGAUGGUGAAUAGUAUGGUGGUGGUGGAGAGUUGUAAACAUAUGGCGGUGGGGGAGAUUUGUAUGCAUGUUUAGGUGAAGGAGAAUAGUAAGGUGGAGGUGGGGAGCUGUAGACAUAUGGUGGUGGUGGGGAUUUGUAUGCAGGCUUAGGCGAAGGCGAGUAAUAUGGUGGUGGUGGAGAACUGUAGACAUAUGGUGGUGGUGGAGAUUUGUACUCAAUCUUUGGAGAAGGAGAGUAGCAUGGAGGAGGAGGUGGACAAACACAUACAUGUGGGUGUGGUGGAGAUUUGUACACAACCUUAGGUGAUGGUGAAUAGUAUGGUGGUGGUGGAGAGUUGUAAACAUAUGGCGGUGGGGGAGAUUUGUAUGCAUGUUUAGGUGAAGGAGAAUAGUAAGGUGGAGGUGGGGAGCUGUAGACAUAUGGUGGUGGUGGGGAUUUGUAUGCAGGCUUAGGCGAAGGCGAGUAAUAUGGUGGUGGUGGAGAACUGUAGACAUAUGGUGGUGGUGGAGAUUUGUACUCAAUCUUUGGAGAAGGAGAGUAGCAUGGAGGAGGAGGUGGACAAACACAUACAUGUGGGUGUGGUGGAGAUUUGUACACAACCUUAGGUGAUGGUGAAUAGUAUGGUGGUGGUGGAGAGUUGUAAACAUAUGGCGGUGGGGGAGAUUUGUAUGCAUGUUUAGGUGAAGGAGAAUAGUAAGGUGGAGGUGGGGAGCUGUAGACAUAUGGUGGUGGUGGGGAUUUGUAUGCAGGCUUAGGCGAAGGCGAGUAAUAUGGUGGUGGUGGAGAACUGUAGACAUAUGGUGGUGGUGGAGAUUUGUACUCAAUCUUUGGAGAAGGAGAGUAGCAUGGAGGAGGAGGUGGACAAACACAUACAUGUGGGUGUGGUGGAGAUUUGUACACAACCUUAGGUGAUGGUGAAUAGUAUGGUGGUGGUGGAGAGUUGUAAACAUAUGGCGGUGGGGGAGAUUUGUAUGCAUGUUUAGGUGAAGGAGAAUAGUAAGGUGGAGGUGGGGAGCUGUAGACAUAUGGUGGUGGUGGGGAUUUGUAUGCAGGCUUAGGCGAAGGCGAGUAAUAUGGUGGUGGUGGAGAACUGUAGACAUAUGGUGGUGGUGGAGAUUUGUACUCAAUCUUUGGAGAAGGAGAGUAGCAUGGAGGAGGAGGUGGACAAACACAUACAUGUGGGUGUGGUGGAGAUUUGUACACAACCUUAGGUGAUGGUGAAUAGUAUGGUGGUGGUGGAGAGUUGUAAACAUAUGGCGGUGGGGGAGAUUUGUAUGCAUGUUUAGGUGAAGGAGAAUAGUAAGGUGGAGGUGGGGAGCUGUAGACAUAUGGUGGUGGUGGGGAUUUGUAUGCAGGCUUAGGCGAAGGCGAGUAAUAUGGUGGUGGUGGAGAACUGUAGACAUAUGGUGGUGGUGGAGAUUUGUACUCAAUCUUUGGAGAAGGAGAGUAGCAUGGAGGAGGAGGUGGACAAACACAUACAUGUGGGUGUGGUGGAGAUUUGUACACAACCUUAGGUGAUGGUGAAUAGUAUGGUGGUGGUGGAGAGUUGUAAACAUAUGGCGGUGGGGGAGAUUUGUAUGCAUGUUUAGGUGAAGGAGAAUAGUAAGGUGGAGGUGGGGAGCUGUAGACAUAUGGUGGUGGUGGGGAUUUGUAUGCAGGCUUAGGCGAAGGCGAGUAAUAUGGUGGUGGUGGAGAACUGUAGACAUAUGGUGGUGGUGGAGAUUUGUACUCAAUCUUUGGAGAAGGAGAGUAGCAUGGAGGAGGAGGUGGACAAACACAUACAUGUGGGUGUGGUGGAGAUUUGUACACAACCUUAGGUGAUGGUGAAUAGUAUGGUGGUGGUGGAGAGUUGUAAACAUAUGGCGGUGGGGGAGAUUUGUAUGCAUGUUUAGGUGAAGGAGAAUAGUAAGGUGGAGGUGGGGAGCUGUAGACAUAUGGUGGUGGUGGGGAUUUGUAUGCAGGCUUAGGCGAAGGCGAGUAAUAUGGUGGUGGUGGAGAACUGUAGACAUAUGGUGGUGGUGGAGAUUUGUACUCAAUCUUUGGAGAAGGAGAGUAGCAUGGAGGAGGAGGUGGACAAACACAUACAUGUGGGUGUGGUGGAGAUUUGUACACAACCUUAGGUGAUGGUGAAUAGUAUGGUGGUGGUGGAGAGUUGUAAACAUAUGGCGGUGGGGGAGAUUUGUAUGCAUGUUUAGGUGAAGGAGAAUAGUAAGGUGGAGGUGGGGAGCUGUAGACAUAUGGUGGUGGUGGGGAUUUGUAUGCAGGCUUAGGCGAAGGCGAGUAAUAUGGUGGUGGUGGAGAACUGUAGACAUAUGGUGGUGGUGGAGAUUUGUACUCAAUCUUUGGAGAAGGAGAGUAGCAUGGAGGAGGAGGUGGACAAACACAUACAUGUGGGUGUGGUGGAGAUUUGUACACAACCUUAGGUGAUGGUGAAUAGUAUGGUGGUGGUGGAGAGUUGUAAACAUAUGGCGGUGGGGGAGAUUUGUAUGCAUGUUUAGGUGAAGGAGAAUAGUAAGGUGGAGGUGGGGAGCUGUAGACAUAUGGUGGUGGUGGGGAUUUGUAUGCAGGCUUAGGCGAAGGCGAGUAAUAUGGUGGUGGUGGAGAACUGUAGACAUAUGGUGGUGGUGGAGAUUUGUACUCAAUCUUUGGAGAAGGAGAGUAGCAUGGAGGAGGAGGUGGACAAACACAUACAUGUGGGUGUGGUGGAGAUUUGUACACAACCUUAGGUGAUGGUGAAUAGUAUGGUGGUGGUGGAGAGUUGUAAACAUAUGGCGGUGGGGGAGAUUUGUAUGCAUGUUUAGGUGAAGGAGAAUAGUAAGGUGGAGGUGGGGAGCUGUAGACAUAUGGUGGUGGUGGGGAUUUGUAUGCAGGCUUAGGCGAAGGCGAGUAAUAUGGUGGUGGUGGAGAACUGUAGACAUAUGGUGGUGGUGGAGAUUUGUACUCAAUCUUUGGAGAAGGAGAGUAGCAUGGAGGAGGAGGUGGACAAACACAUACAUGUGGGUGUGGUGGAGAUUUGUACACAACCUUAGGUGAUGGUGAAUAGUAUGGUGGUGGUGGAGAGUUGUAAACAUAUGGCGGUGGGGGAGAUUUGUAUGCAUGUUUAGGUGAAGGAGAAUAGUAAGGUGGAGGUGGGGAGCUGUAGACAUAUGGUGGUGGUGGGGAUUUGUAUGCAGGCUUAGGCGAAGGCGAGUAAUAUGGUGGUGGUGGAGAACUGUAGACAUAUGGUGGUGGUGGAGAUUUGUACUCAAUCUUUGGAGAAGGAGAGUAGCAUGGAGGAGGAGGUGGACAAACACAUACAUGUGGGUGUGGUGGAGAUUUGUACACAACCUUAGGUGAUGGUGAAUAGUAUGGUGGUGGUGGAGAGUUGUAAACAUAUGGCGGUGGGGGAGAUUUGUAUGCAUGUUUAGGUGAAGGAGAAAAAAGUGAUAUGUAAAUAAUAUUUAUAUUAUUUAAAUAUCUUAAUAAUUAAAAAAACACUCAAAUUCAAAAUUAAAAUAUUUAUAAAAGUUUUUAUUAUGAUUAUAUAAUUUAUUUGAUAUUAUAGAUAUCUUUUUUUACAUUUUACAGAUUCUACAGCUUAUAAAAAUAUGAUGUAGCAUUUUUGCCUAAAAUACAUAAUAAAAAGUUUUGCUUUAUUUUUUUUGCUGUAGCUUUAAAAAUAAAGCUAAAGCAUGAUUGGUAAAAUUAAAUAAAAACUUGAUGUAGACAUUAAUUUUUAAAAGUAAAGCUAAAGCAUGAUUGGUAAAAUUUAGUGAUUUAAAAAUAAAUAAAGCUAAAGUAUGGAGAUAAAACCCAACCAAUCACCCCCAUAGCAUUCUAAAAA
rnacentral:lncRNA from 1 species